UGGCGCACGGGUGAGUAACACGUGAGUAACCUGCCCCCGAGAGCGGGAUAGCCCUGGGAAACUGGGAUUAAUACCGCAUAGUAUCGAAAGAUUAAAGCAGCAAUGCGCUUGGGGAUGGGCUCGCGGCCUAUUAGUUAGUUGGUGAGGUAACGGCUCGCCAAGGCGAUGACGGGUAGCCGGUCUGAGAGGAUGUCCGGCCACACUGGAACUGAGACACGGUCCAGACACCUACGGGAGGCAGCAG
rnacentral:rRNA from 1 species